GUGGGGAUGACGUCAAGUCAGCAUGCCCCUUACGUCCUGGGCUACACACGUACUACAAUGCUUCGGACAAAGGGUUGCGAGCUAGCGAUAGCAAGCUAAUCCCGUAAACCGAGGCUCAGUUCGGAUUGCAGGCUGCAACUCGCCUGCAUGAAGGAGGAAUCGCUAGUAAUCCCAGGUCAGCAUACUGGGGUGAAUACGUUCCCGGGCCUUGUACACACCGCCCGUCACACCAUGGGAGUUGGCCACGCCCGAAGUCGUUACUCCAACCGCUUGCGGAGGAGGAUGCCGAAGGCAGGGCUGAUGACUGGGGUGAAGUCGUAACAAGGUAGCCGUACCGGAAGGUGUGGCUGGAUCACCUCCUUUUAGGGAGACCUACCCGCAUUGAUGCUUGAACGCCAUUUGUUAUUAAAGCCAAUGUUGGUCAUCCCAAGGUCGUUCAAGGUUAAGUGUUGGCUUUCAAACUAGCUAGGUUUGGUUUAUGGGCUAUUAGCUCAGGUGGUUAGAGCGCACCCCUGAUAAGGGUGAGGUCCCUGGUUCGAGUCCAGGAUGGCCCACCUUUGAAAGCGGUCAACCAACAGUUGUUUCGCUCUAGUCUGUUGAGAUUGCAGUUUAGCAACUGAGCGUUGGUAGCUUUUCUGGGGGUUUAGCUCAGUUGGUAGAGCGCCUGCUUUGCAAGCAGGAUGUCAGCGGUUCGAGUCCGCUAACCUCCACUGGUCAAUGCUUGUUAGCAUUUUCUGCUGAGCAUUGGUCCAAGCGACAGGAGCAUUCAGCAACUCAUCUAGCCUUGUCUAGAGAGACUGCUGGCUUUGUUCCAGCCAGAACCUUGAAAACUGCAUAGUAACUUGUCAGGUAGAAAGAGCGCGUAGCGAUGCCUGUUUGGUAUUCAGCUUUCAAACGGCUGCAUGCUGAGCGAUGUACACUACGUGCAAAAUCACAAACACCAAUGAAAUUGUCAGUGGUCAAGCUACAAAGGGCUGAUGGUGGAUACCUWGGCACACAGAGGCGADG
rnacentral:sRNA from 1 species